AUGUGUGCUCUCCCGAUGCUGCUUCUCAGCAUCCCUGCAGCCAUCCACUCCUGUAGCAACAUAGCAAUCAGGGUCUGGAGUAUCAAGGCUGGAGAGAGGUGGCAGCCUGUUGUCAGUGGGCCAUUCGGCUGUGUGUGUUCAGAGGUCUUGAAGUUGUGUGACUUAAGUGCACUCCUCUUAAAUAAAUAUAUUUUUGAAUGUGCUUGUACUUAGUCCCUCCUACUUUCCCCUGUGUUUUAUUUUAUUGUUACUCCCCUAAUCUCCUAGCCGUCUUGGAGAAUGUAACCAAUCAUCAACACACGAGAACAUUUACAAGCAAGCUCUCAAGCCAUGGAAGUCGACCAUCGUGAUGAACACAGUUCACCUUCCGGAUGAGAGACGACCGAUUCUACCUCUGGGCCAUGAGUUUCUGAGUCUUUGAAUAGAGAAGUCACAUCUGAAAAUGAAACUUAAGAAAAGGACUGCCACAGACCUUUUUUACAGUUUGUCUGUGUAGCGGUGUUUCCCAUACUUCCUUAUCACUGCUGAUAAGCCCGGUCAUAAAGGGAUGAACACAAGACGUUUGUGUCUGUGUGCAGGCAUGUGAAUAACUCGUAUGUACACAAGUAUGUGCAAAUGACAAAAUGUGUGUGUCUGCACCUGCUUCCCUGGAAGGAAACAUCUGCUGCAGGGUGUCAGAGGCCACCUGUCCACCUCCGUCCUGCAGGGAAACAGCAGCCGCUGAACGACCACUACAGAACUGAUCCACUGUCUGAACCAGCGAAAUCUGCAGCAGGAAGAUCUGUAAGGGGAGAAACAGCUGUCUUAUUAGAUCCUCCCAUGGCCCGCUAUCUGAGACAGUGUGAGCUUGCAUCAUCCACCCAAAUAUGUGUUGAAUAGCAUAGCAAUAGGAAAUAAUCCCUGCACACUGGAAGUAACACAUUUGCAGGGUUUGCCUGCAUGCUGGGACGCUUGAAAUUGUAAUCGAAAUGGUUUAGAAACGUGUAAACUUGCCAAAAAUACAAAAAAUUUAAAAAUACACACAACUUCCUUGAUUAAACAAAUUCUGACAAUGUGCCAAUAUGAUUUAAAAAAAUUAAACGUCUUUAGUCUUGACUUAACUAUUUUGACAUCCAGAGGUCACAUUAGCCCUCAAUUAUUUUACGUACAUGCAUGUUGGCCAGUGGAUGAAUCCUGCAGACUCCUCUAAUGGCCUGGCUCUUUGCUCUGGUGCUACCGUGAGAUAAACAUUUGAGGUUUUGUUGAAAUGCUUCGACAGAAAUGGGAUGAAUCAGAAUAUAUUCACUCAUCCUUCAAGAAUUUCUUCGGUGAUCCGACAUUUCGUCUUGCUCAAAAGUCAAAGUCACUCAGAGGCUGUUUGAACCUGUUUUUACCGAUAUUUCCCGUUAGAUCCGAUCAAAAGCUUCCUGUAAAAACCACUAUUAAGAGGAUCUCACUUUUUACACUCUGAAACGUCUUCUGUCUUCACACUUGUCUCUUCCCAGUGAGCAAUAAUUGUGAUGUUCAUGAAGAAAGUUGGUUAAAAAUAUGUUGCAAUUGGGUAAGUCCGAGUCACUUUUCACACAGAAGAAACAAUAUAGACUAUUGAUCUUUUCAACUCAAAAUCAAAAUGUUCCAUUAAAAGCAAAUCUCUAAUAUCCAAAGUAUAAUCAAACUCAAAAUAUAAAGGUUAAGCUCUGGCUUCAGUCGAAAAAAAGGGGGACAUUUGUGGGAUAUAAAAUUGUGAAGAAGUUCAAAGUUUCUCCUCUGACCUGGAUUGAAAAUGUGUUUUAAAGUGCCAAAUAUGUUGAAAACUACUUAUUUGAUGAAUGUGCACUCCUUCCACCACUUCAUUGUAAGUGGGUGUUUUUGAGUGGCCAGUAGAGGGCGCUAACUGCCAUGUUUCCUCUGU